GGGGAAUCUUGGACAAUGGGGGCAACCCUGAUCCAGCCAUGCCGCGUGAGUGAAGAAGGCCCUAGGGUCGUAAAACUCUUUCGCCUGUGAUGAUAAUGACAGUAGCAGGUAAAGAAACCCCGGCUAACUCCGUGCCAGCAGCCGCGGUAAUACGGAGGGGGUUAGCGUUGUUCGGAAUUACUGGGCGUAAAGCGCACGUAGGCGGAUUAGAAAGUUAGAGGUGAAAUCCCGGGGCUCAACCCCGGAACUGCCUUUAAAACUACUAGUCUAGAGUUCGAGAGAGGUGAGUGGAAUUCCGAGUGUAGAGGUGAAAUUCGUAGAUAUUCGGAGGAACACCAGUGGCGAAGGCGGCUCACUGGCUCGAUACUGACGCUGAGGUGCGAAAGUGUGGGGAGCAAACAGG
rnacentral:rRNA from 1 species